AAUCAACGCUGGCGGCGUGCCUAACACAUGCAAGUCGAACGCGAAAGGGGAGCAAUCCCUGAGUAGAGUGGCAAACGGGUGAGUAACACGUGGGUGACCUGCCUUCGAGUGGGGGAUAACGUUCCGAAAGGAACGCUAAUACCGCAUGACAUCCUGCUUUUGGAGAAGCGGAGAUCAAAGCUGGGGAUUCGCAAGAACCUAGCGCUUGAAGAGGGGCCCGCGCCUGAUUAGCUAGUUGGUGGGGUAACGGCUCACCAAGGCUUCGAUCAGUAUCCGGCCUGAGAGGGCGGACGGACACACUGGGACUGAGACACGGCCCAGACUCCUACGGGAGGCAGCAGUGGGGAAUUGUUCGCAAUGGGCGCAAGCCUGACGACGCAACGCCGCGUGGAGGAUGAAGAUUUUCGGAUCGUAAACUCCUGUCGAGUGGGAAGAAUAGCUUCCGGGCGAAUAUCCCGGAAGUCUGAC
rnacentral:rRNA from 1 species